UACGAAGGGGGCUAGCGUUGUUCGGAAUUACUGGGCGUAAAGCGCAUGUAGGCGGACAUUUAAGUCAGGGGUGAAAUCCCGGGGCUCAACCUCGGAACUGCCUUUGAUACUGGGUGUCUAGAGUGUGGAAGAGGUAAGUGGAAUUCCGAGUGUAGAGGUGAAAUUCGUAGAUAUUCGGAGGAACACCAGUGGCGAAGGCGGCUUACUGGUCCAUUACUGACGCUGAGGUGCGAAAGCGUGGGGAGCAAAC
rnacentral:rRNA from 1 species